rnacentral:rRNA from 1 species
UAGGUAACCUGCCCUGGACUUUGGGAUAACCCUCGGAAACGGGGGCUAAUACCGGAUAUGACGGCUCACCGCAUGGUGUGGUUGUGGAAAGUUUUUCGGUCUGGGAUGGGCUCGCGGCCUAUCAGCUUGUUGGUGGGGUGAUGGCCUACCAAGGCGACGACGGGUAGCCGGCCUGAGAGGGCGACCGGCCACACUGGGACUGAGACACGGCCCAGACUCCUACGGGAGCA